CCUGCGGGAGGCAUCAGUGGGGAAUAUUGGACAAUGGGCGCAAGCCUGAUCCAGCCAUGCCGCGUGAGUGAUGAAGGCCCUAGGGUUGUAAAGCUCUUUCACCGGUGAAGAUAAUGACGGUAACCGGAGAAGAAGCCCCGGCUAACUUCGUGCCAGCAGCCGCGGUAAUACGAAGGGGGCUAGCGUUGUUCGGAUUUACUGGGCGUAAAGCGCACGUAGGCGGACUAUUAAGUCAGGGGUGAAAUCCCGGGGCUCAACCCCGGAACUGCCUUUGAUACUGGUAGUCUGGAGUUCGAGAGAGGUGAGUGGAAUUCCGGGUGUAGAGGUGAAAUUCGUAGAUAUUCGGAGGAACACCAGUGGCGAAGGCGGCUCACUGGCUCGAUACUGACGCUGAGGUGCGAAAGCGUGGGGAGCAAACAGGAUUAGAAACCCCUGUAGGCCCAU
rnacentral:rRNA from 1 species